CUGCCUCCGGUGCUGACAGCCCAGGCCCCUUUUAAACUUGGUUUCUCUGGCGCCCUCCCCUUUCGGACGCGGCGCGCGACUUGGGCUCAGUCCAGUUCAGGAUGCUGACAAACUUCAGGGCUGGUGCUGCUGGAGAGACAGAAUUGUGCCGGAAAGAAGCUUUUCAAGUAGAUAAGGUGUAUUUGAACAGGUGAUGGUUGAUAUAUGCAAAACAGAGGCUUUUGCUUUCUUUGUCCCUUUCACGCUAACAGCGGUUCUCAACCUGUGGGUCGAGACCCCUUUGGCGGUCGAAUGACCCUUUCACAGGGGUCGCCUAAGACCAUCCUGCAUAUCAGAUAUUUACAUUACGAUUCAUCACAGU